rnacentral:rRNA from 1 species
CCUACGGGGGGCAGCAGUGAGGAAUAUUGGUCAAUGGGCGCGAGCCUGAACCAGCCAAGUCGCGUGACGGAUGACGGACCUACGGGUUGUAAACUUCUUUUAUAAAGGAAUAAAGUGAGCCACGUGUGCCUUGUAGUAUAUACUUUAUAAAUAAAGAUCGGCUAACUCCGGUCCAGCAGCCGCGGUAAUACGGAGGGUCCGAGCGUUAGCCGGUUUUAUUGGGGUUAAAGGGAGCGUAGAGGGGUUGUUAAGUAAGGUGUGAAAGUUUGCGGCUCAAACGUAAAAUUGCAAUUGAUACUGGUAGCCUUGAGUACAGUUGAGGUAGGCGGAAUUCGUGGUGUAGCGGUGAAAUGCUUAGAUAUCACGAAGAACUCCGAUUGCGAAGGCAGCUUACUAGACUGCCACUGACAUUGAUGCUCGAAAGUGUGGGUAUCAAACAGGAUUAGAUACCCUAGUAGUC